ACGGCCAUACCACAUUGAAAACACCGGUUCUCGUCCAAUCACCGAAGUUAAGACACGUCGGGCCCGGUCAGUACUUGGGAGGGUGGCCACCUGGGAACACGGGGUGUAGCUGUAAGCC